CAAGCGGUGGAGCAUGUGGUUUAAUUCGAUACUACGCGCAAAACCUUACCAGCCCUUGACAUAUGAACAACAAAACCUGUCCUUAACAGGAUGGUACUGACUUUCAUACAGGUGCUGCAUGGCUGUCGUCAGCUCGUGUCGUGAGAUGUUUGGUCAAGUCCUAUAACGAGCGAAACCCUCGUUUUGUGUUGCUGAGACAUGCGCCUAAGGAGAAAUUGCCACCGAAGUGAGCCGAGGAGCCGAGUGACGUGCCAGCGCUACUACUUGAUUGAGUGCCAGCACGUAGCUGUGCUUUCAGCAAGAAUUUCACCAUUGGGAGCCGGUGCCUUUCGAAGCACUUUCACGUGUGAACCGAAGUCGUCUUGCCCAAGACCCACGGAGACCUACCUAUAGUGACGUCAAAGUACCAGUGAGCAUGGAGGUUUGGUUGAAAUUGGUUACGACGACGUCGAGUUGGCGGCGGAGGAAGACUCGGCAUGAAGGCCAGCCGCCCGGUGGUGUGGUACGUAGUGGUAAUAGUACGCGCCCCGCUCCGAAACAAAGAAAAAGGUGCGUGCCGCACUCACGAGGGACUGCCAGUGAGAUACUGGAGGAAGGUGGGGAUGACGUCAAGUCCGCAUGGCCCUUAUGGGCUGGGCCACACACGUGCUACAAUGGCAAUGACAAUGGGAAGCAAGGCUGUAAGGCGGAGCGAAUCCGGAAAGAUUGCCUCAGUUCGGAUUGUUCUCUGCAACUCGGGAACAUGAAGUUGAAAUCGCUAGUAAUCGCGGAUCAGCAUGCCGCGGUGAAUAUGUACCCGGGCCCUGUACACACCGCCCGUCACACCCUGGGAAUUGGUUUCGCCCGAAGCAUCGGACCAAUGAUCACCCAUGACUUCUGUGUACCACUAGUGCCACAAAGGCCUUUGGUGGUCUUAUUGGCGCAUACCACGGUGGGGUCUUCGACU
rnacentral:rRNA from 2 species